GCCGGGGUCCCAUAGCGGCCAUUGGGGCGGCCUGGAGAGCCGCUGCCCCGAUGAGGGGCGCGCGGGUUCGAGUCCCGCCCCCGGCG
rnacentral:tRNA from 2 species